rnacentral:misc_RNA from 1 species
GAUGAAGAACGCAGCGAAAUGCGAUACGUAAUGUGAAUUGCAGAAUUCAGUGAAUCAUCGAGUCUUUGAACGCACAUUGCGCCCCCUGGUAUUCCGGGGGGCAUGCCUGUCCGAGCGUCAUUGCUGCCCUCAAGCACGGCUUGUGUGUUGGGCCUCCGUCCUCCUCCCGGGGGAGGGGCCCGAAAGGCAGCGGCGGCACCGCGUCCGGUCCUCGAGCGUAUGGGGCUUCGUCACCCGCUCUUGUAGGCCCGGCCGGCGCUUGCCGACACAUCAAUCUUUUUUCCAGGUUGACCUCGGAUCAGGUAGGGAUACCCGCUGAACUUAAGCAUAUCAAUAAGCGGAGGA